UACAGAGACCUCAAACGUUGUCCGGAUUUACUGGGCGUAAAGGGUUCGUAGGCGGUCUGAUGCGUCAAUGGUCAAAUCUUAGGGCUCAACUCUAAGACUGCCAAUGAUACGGUCAGACUUGUGCAUGGGAGAGGCGAGCGGAAUUACCGGUGUAGUAGUAAAAUGCGUUCAUAUCGGUAAGAACACCAAAUGCGAAGGCAGCUCGCUGGAACAUUGCAGACGCUAAGGAACGAAAGCGUGGGGAGCGAAAGGG
rnacentral:rRNA from 1 species